rnacentral:rRNA from 1 species
UUGGAAACGACUGCUAAUACCGCAUAAUUGCUACGGCACAAAGGGGGCUUCGGUUCUCGCCUUUAGAGAAGCCCAAUUGGGAUUAGGUAGUUGGUGAGGUAAAGGCUCACCAAGCCAACAAUCCCUAGCUGGUCUGAAAGGAUGAUCAGCCCCACUGGAACUGAGACACGGUCCAAACUCCUACGGGAGGCAGCAGUGGGGAAUAUUGCACAAGGGGCGCAAGCCUGAUGCACCCAUGCCGCGUGCGUGAAAAAGGCCUUCGGGUUGUAAAGCACUUUCAGUCGUGAGGAAGGGUUAGUAGUUAAUACCUGCUAGUUUUGACGUUAGCGACUGAAAAAGCACCGGCUAACUCCGUGCCACCAGCCGCGGUAUUACGGAGGGUGCGAGCGUUAAUCGGAAUUACUGGGCGUAAAGCGUACCCAGGGCGGCUAAUUAAGUCAAAUGUGAAAGCCCCGGGCUCAACCUGGGAAACUGCUUUUUGAAAC